GAAAUGGAUCGGGCAAUCGCGGUAUAUUUUAGAUAUAUCGAGGAAAGUCCGGGCUCCACAGGAUAGGGUGCCAGGUAACGCCUGGGCAGUUAUAGACUGACGGCCAGUGCCACAGAGAAUAUACCGCCUGCUGAUAGCGAUGUUUGCAUCGCUGUCACUGGGUAAGGGUGAAAAGGUGCGGUAAGAGCGCACCGCGCUUUUGGCAACAAAAGUGGCAAGGUAAACCCCACCUGGAGCAAGACCAAAUAGGAAAACAGCCACAUUAACAGGCUGAUGUUUGUUAAUGCGGCAGAUGUGAUCCGCAUCGUUUUCGGGUAGGUUGCUAGAGAUCAGUGGUGACGCUAAUCCCAGAUGAAUGAUUGCCUCGUCCGGCUUGCCGGAUAGACAGAACCCGGCUUACAGAUCCAUUUCCUUU
rnacentral:RNase_P_RNA from 1 species